rnacentral:rRNA from 1 species
GAUGAACGCUGGCGGCGUGCCUAAUACAUGCAAGUCGAGCGAACAGACGAGGAGCUUGCUCCUCUGACGUUAGCGGCGGACGGGUGAGUAACACGUGGAUAACCUACCUAUAAGACUGGGAUAACUUCGGGAAACCGGAGCUAAUACCGGAUAAUAUAUUGAACCGCAUGGUUCAAUAGUGAAAGACGGUUUUGCUGUCACUUAUAGAUGGAUCCGCGCCGCAUUAGCUAGUUGGUAAGGUAACGGCUUACCAAGGCAACGAUGCGUAGCCGACCUGAGAGGGUGAUCGGCCACACUGGAACUGAGACACGGUCCAGACUCCUACGGGAGGCAGCAGAAGGGAAUCUUCCGCAAUGGGCGAAAGCCUGACGGAGCAACGCAGCGUGAGUGAUGACGGUCCUCGGAUCGUAAAACUCUGUUAUUAGGGAAGAACAAAUGUGUAAGUAACUAUGCACGUCUUGACGGUACCUAAUCAGAAAGCCACGGCUAACUACGUG